rnacentral:rRNA from 1 species
AUUGAACGCUGGCGGCAUGCCUUACACAUGCAAGUCGAACGGCAGCCGGACCUUCGAGUGCCGGCGAGUGGCGAACGGGUGAGUAAUAUAUCGGAACGUACCUUUCAGUGGGGGAUAACGUAGCGAAAGUUACGCUAAUACCGCAUAUUCUGUGAGCAGGAAAGCAGGGGAUCGCAAGACCUUGCGCUGAUUGAGCGGCCGAUAUCAGAUUAGCUAGUUGGUGAGGUAAAGGCUCACCAAGGCGACGAUCUGUAGCGGGUCUGAGAGGAUGAUCCGCCACACUGGAACUGAGACACGGUCCAGACUCCUACGGGAGGCAGCAGUGGGGAAUUUUGGACAAUGGGCGCAAGCCUGAUCCAGCCAUGCCGCGUGAGUGAAGAAGGCCUCGGUU